CUCACUAACUUUGGAAAAAUAAUUACAAUUGGAGAUAAAAAGAUAAAUGAUUUAAAGGUUUCAAUUAGACUCUCUUCUACCUGCAGGUAAAAUGAGUGUCCUUACCUGUGGUAGAGAGUGCCCAGAGGAGAAACAGAGAAAACAGCAGCUUCAUUGUGAUGAACAGAUGAAACACCUGAACCACUGUCUGACAAAUAUUAACUAUAAAAGGAAGCCUUUGGCUGCUGAGGAUGAAACUGCAAGGGCAAACAACCUGAACUGUUAUUAUGUCCAAUUGGAAAUAGACACUUUCAAGGAAUACCUUGAUAUCUCGGACAAUGUAAAGUACAAUAAAAAUAACACGACAAAUUUAUGCACUGUUAUAUUUUUUUCUUUAAC
ensembl:lncRNA